CUUUCUCCACUGCAGUCCCUCCUUGCAAAGGCAGCAGCACAGCCCUGCUGCUGCAGGAUGCUGUCCUCGGAAAUUCCACCAGUUGGCUCACUGACUUCUCACAGUUCUUUUCUGCUGGGUUAUCAAGCAGGCGAGCGAUGACCAUCGUCCCCUCUCCCAGGGAAUCCCAGACCCCUCCGGCGACUGAUGACUCAUUCUCCGACAAAAGCCGCUGCCGAUUCAGACAGCCAUCUUACAGGCUGGGAGCUGCAACAAGACAAAUUCAAAGCAUCUCACUGCAGUUCAGAAAUCACUUGACCUAAAAGCAGACAGAAACCGGAUUGGCUACAGCUUCCUCUCUCCAAAUAUGAGGUAAAGAAACGGAGGUUUCAGAAAGUUGAUUCAUUUGCUCAAGGCCACACAGCUUGUAAGUGGCAAAGCCAGAACAUGAACUCCUGUUUAAGACUUGUAACUUCAAUCCCUCAUUACACUGCCUUCUAACUGCAGCAGAGAUGGGAGCCUGAACUCAGUUAUGUGAAAGAGGAAGAAAUCCCACUGUUCUGAAUUGGCAACUAGAGUCACACUGACCCAGGACUCAAACAAAACAAUAACUCUUGCCACUUGGGAAUAAGAUAGGAAGUCUCUGAAAUGAGGCCCAGAUGGUUUUUACUCAAAUUGCAGAGGGAAGGAAGUCUGAAUUAAAGAUCUAAAAAAUUGAACUCGAAAACUACCCUGCUGUGCCAGUGGGAUCUGCCCACUCCCAUUUUUUAGUAUGGCGACUGGCAGGUGAGAUAACACCACAGCCUGAAGGGCUCCAAAUGAAGUGGAAGGUCAGUUGCAGCUAUUUAUUCUAUACCAAAAGGAUCCAGACUGAACCACAGAGAGAAAUAGCCUGCAUAAGCCUACCCACUUCCCCUGAAGACCUGCAAAAUGCCCACCCCAAAGGGAAGGCACUAAGAAGCCCUAAAGCCUCGGCUCCUGCGCAGUGCUUCUGAGACCCUGCUGAUGCCCCAAUUUGCCUCACAACUGCAGGCGGGCUUCUUUCUCCCCUAAGCCUUUCCCAAGGCUGACGGUGAAGCUGCAGCACCAUCUUAUGGCCAUCAUAAACCACAGCAAGAAAUACAACAAGGUGGUUAGCGUGGGAGAGAAACCCAAUCAGACUCCGGGAAAUCAGUUUAUCUGCAAAAAAUCUGACAUCACAGUAUAAUUUUCCAAGCAAGCACCAGGCCUUCAUUUCUCCCAUGGAGAGUGUGAGAACUACGACACUUUUCAGAUGCACACCUCAAUGCUGAAGCUUGAAUUCCGUCCCUGAAAUACAAACACAUCAAAUUCUUGAAAACAAUCAACUCUAACUCACGGGCAAGAGAGUCAGCCUCUGGAUAUGACUGGGGCUGCUGCAGGCUUCCCUUAUGGAGAGGCCUGACAGCUGAGCAGAUGUACUUCUUUUGGCCUUGCUCUCGGCAUGCAGAAGUUCCCAGACUAGGGGUCAAACCCAAGCCACGGCAGUGACAACUCCAGAUUCUUAACCCACCCAAGCAGAUUUGGUUCCAGGAGCCUUUUCUUUCUUAAUUUUCUACAUAUGUUGGGUGAAUUGGGCUUUCAUUUCCUUCUGCUCCAAAGGAAAAUUGGUCUAGGAGUGGAGGAAGGUAGACCUAGGUUCAAAUUCCCAGUUCUGUUAACUUAGUAUCUAAGUAACUAACUUGCUAGGCGUCUCAGUCUCCUUACCUAUAAAAUGUGGAUACUGCCACCAACUUCAUGGGGUUGGGAGGGGGUUCAUGGGAUGGUGUCCAUAAAGUGCUUGGCUCUGUGCCUGGUCCACAGUAAGCCCCCUUCCUCCCCAUCUACCACCGGAGCUAAGAGCUGUGAGGCGCUCCACCACCAGCAGGGUCCUAAUGUGAUCUUUUUCUUGAUGGGGCUCUAUGGAGAGUAGCUAUGUUCCAAGGUCCAAAGUUUAGGUGCUUAUUUUCUCUAUAGGGGCUUCCACUAAGUUACCCCGGACCAUCUUCUCACCUAGCCUGAGCUCUUCACAUAUGGCCCGCUGUCUUCUGGGAAAGCAGGAUUUCAGGGCCCACCUAUUCUUCAUGUCUUCUCCUUUGGCUUUUUCUUCUUAACUGUUUACUGCCCACAGGUCUCCCACAGAGACAGCAGGAGUGAAAGCAUCCAGAGUGAUAGAGCUCAUUCAUUCAUUCCACAAACAUAAAUGCCGCCGCAUCUUCAUGCCAAGCACUAAGUGGCAUAAGCCUUGAGUCUCCCCAGCUCAGACCACUCUUGACCUGACUUUUCGGUCUUUUAAAUUUUCACAGCACUCCACAUACACUACUAUUUAAUAAACAUUUGAAAGUUGGAAAGCUAAUUUUGUCAGACUCUGAUUUAUAAGAACUUAUCGUUUAGAAAAACUAUAAAUCCUAACAUGUACCUUAAAAUAGGCUUGAACAAAACCAAGAGAUAAGAAAUCCUUUUAUUUGUAACUCGAUGUGUACCCUAAGAAAGUCAGCUGGUCUCUGCACUUCAGUUUGCUCCUCUGAACAAUGGGCAUAGGAAAAUAGACAUUACAGUCUACUUAUCUGGUCUACCUACCCCACAGCUUUGAGAAAAUCAUACAAUAUCUAUUCAUUUAACAAAUAUUUAUAUAACAGGCAAAGAAGUAAACAAGAGACAAAGUCCCUGAUGUUAUUAAGCUCGCAUCCUGCUUCAGGAUCCAGAAAACAAACACAUGAGACAACGGUAGGUGUCACACAACACUGCACAUCAUACUGUGCUUCUGAGAAUGACCAGCAAAAAGUAUACCGAAAAAAGAAAAAGACAGGCAUACAGUACAGCAAUUCCAGUCCAGGUAUCCAUCCUCAAACCCCCACUUUCCUAUAGGCAAGAGGACAGAUGUUUACUGCAGCAGUGAAUGCCUUCCUCAUAGAAUGUAACAGUAGACUGCAAAUAAUCACAGCCGUGUUGCUCAGCGGCGUGGGGACCCACUCACAUUAUAGGCUGCAAAUUAGUUAUGAUGAACAAAUCAGGUCCUCCUCCUUUAUCAACAUAGUUAAUACCAAAAACAUAGGUUUUUUUUUUUUUAAAGAAAACAGGAUAUAUAGAAGAUACUAUUUGUGUCUAAUAUAAAAACAGCAGCCCAUACUGCUCAUGAAUACCUGAUCUGUCAUAAAGGUACAGAGCAUAUUUGACAAUGACAUACACCAACUUCGGGACAGUAUUUACCUGGAGGGUAAGAGAACAGAGGAACAAGAAAAUUGGCUGUAUCUGAAAUGUUUUCUUCAGAGUUCCUGUCAUGGCUCAGUGGUUAACAAACCCAACUAGUAUCCAGGAGGAUGCAGGCCCGAUCCCUGGCCUCGCUCAGUGGGUUAAGGAUCCAGAGUUGCCGUGAGCUGUGCUGUAGGUCACAGAUGCAGCUCAGAUCUGGCAUUGCUGUGGUUGUGGCACAGGCCUGCAGCUGUAGCUCUGAUUUAGCCCCUAGCCUGGGAGCUUCCAUAUGCCGCAGGUGUGGCCCUAAAAAGCAAAAAAACAAAAAAUGAAAAACUGAAAUGUUUUCUUUUUUUUUAAAGAGAAAGAAAAUAAAAAAAAAAAAGAAACCAAAGCAAAUAUAAAAUUAACGUCUGUUUAAUUUUGAAAGUGACUACACACAU